AUCUUCGUUGACUUCCAGUGGUUCCCGGUGUUGGUUUGUCACAUCUUCCUGGUCUCUGUCUAUCGUGAUAGACUCACGGGAGUGCCAUUUGGAAGUGAUGCAGAUAAGUGCUGUCUCGGAGUUGUCCACCAGAGGGAAUGAAUUGAUCAGUAUGAGGUCCAGUGCUGCUUCCACUUUACCUAAGGAAAAAAGCAGCAAGUGGAAAAAGUUUACUGCAGAGUUUGUGUGUGUGGCUGAUCAAAUCACCAGGUUAACCAUCUGAAGCCCUGACAGACAGCAGCAAGAACUAUGGCAUAAAGAAGCCUUCUCAGAAACAAAUAGCCCUUCUAUGAUUCUGUGAUUGUAAGUGACUACAAGCUGGAAGUCCUUCCCUUGGUGUUUGGAGCAUAACAGAAGGAAAAGAAGAGUUAUGACAAAAGCUCAGUCCUCCACAGGAAAACAAGGCUGACGUUACUAUUACCCAAACAGAUUAAGAUUCUCUUCCAUAAGCAAGUAAAGCAGAAUACAACGGAUCAACAGAAAUUGCAUGGACCAAACAGCUGACAAUAUGCUAGGUCUUCAUUACAGUUUCUCGAAGAUUUUCAUCCAUCUAGGUCUUGCAUCACAGUGGGAGCUGACCAUGGAACUGUGCAUCUGUCGCACAAGUGGAAGGAGCCAAGCCAACAGUCUUCAUUUUGGAAAAGGGUGGAGUGGAUUUUGUGCCUACCCAGCAACACACCCAGGGAAGCCCAUGAUCACUGGGGACAAGGUUAAGCCAGUUCACUGCCUGCGUUGAGUGUAAAGCCUCCCCUGCUCAGGGAAUGUCAAUCCUGCUUUCCUGAACUCCGCCUGCAGUAUCUAGAGGAAAACGGGAUUGCAUUGUCUUCCCCUGCUUGCCCCAGGAAACAUGAUAUCAUUCUCAAACAAAAGCGGGAAAGCUGACAGAUCUAUUGAGAUGGGUGUGACUACAGCACACACCUCGCUGCUCAGCCCCUGUGGAAAAGGCACUGACUGGCAGCUCUUCAGUACCGAGCUGUCUGCACUGCCCAUGUUUACAGCUAAUCUCUGCAGACAACUUUUGUUCUUCCCCUACUUCUGAUUUAACAAAUGUCCAUUGCCUGCUGUGUCGGUUAGGUGUAUGUUUUGAUGUAGAGGAAGAGCAGAAACAAGGAAAAAGAUCUGGGAUAACUGGACUUCCUUUUCUUCUCUUUCAUGCUGCUUACAGCACCAGGUUGUCCCCUUUCAAGUGAAAAGCUGGAGUGAUCUGAAGGCUAAAUAGGCUGAAUCAAUGUGCACAAUUAAAAGCUACAAAAGAGGAUUUGGUAAACAAUAUGUAGACUAUUACGUCAAAGGCUAGAUAAGAAUACUACCAAACAUAUACUCAACAGAUAAACACAUAUUUUUGCCUGUAUUAAUCUCUAGCCUUUUAUAGGUGCCAAAAGUAAAAUUGCAAACUCAUUUGUUCACAAUUUCUCUUAGGUAUUUGCAUGUGGCUAAUCCAGAAGAUUUGUGAAUUUUAAAGCUAGUUACACAGCAAUGGGGACUUCUGCUUUUUCUUGCCACUUUCUGGUUUUUCUUGCAGGACAACCUGCAGCUUUAUAGCACAUUACUUUUUGCUUGA